CAAGGAGUAGUUUAAAAUA
rnacentral:tRNA from 1 species